CCUACGGGAGGCAGCAGUAGGGAAUUUUGCGCAAUGGGCGAAAGCCUGACGCAGCAACGCCGCGUGAUCGAGACGCCCUUCGGGGUGUAAAGAUCUGUCAGUGGGGACGAAACUUGACGGUACCCACAGAGGAAGCACCGGCUAAAUCCGUGCCAGCAGCCGCGGUAAUACGGGGGGUGCAAGCGUUGUCCGGAAUCAUUGGGCGUAAAGAGUUCGUAGGCGGCACGUAAAGUCAGGUGUUAAAGGCAGAGGCUCAACUGCUGAACGGCACUUGAUACUUGCGAGCUAGAAUGCGGGAGAGGUAAAGGGAAGUCCUGGUGUAGCGGUGAAAUGCGUAGAUAUCAGGAGGAACAUCAGUGGCGUAGGCGAUUUACUGGACCGUAAUUGACGCUGAGGAACGAAAGCGAGGGUAGCAAAUGGGAUUAGAUACCCGUGUAGUC
rnacentral:rRNA from 1 species